rnacentral:rRNA from 1 species
AUGAACGCUGGCGGCGUGCCUAAUACAUGCAAGUCGAACGCUGGAGAUCUAGCUUGCUAGCUCGAAGGAGUGGCGAACGGGUGAGUAAUACAUAAGCAACCUACCCACGAAGACUGGGAUAAUCUCUGGAAACGGGGACUAAUACCGGAUAGGUAAUCGGAAGGCAUCUUCUGGUUAUUAAAGGUUAAAAACACUGGUGGAUGGGCUUAUGGCGCAUUAGUUAGUUGGUGAGGUAACGGCCCACCAAGACGAUGAUGCGUAGCCGGCCUGAGAGGGUGAACGGCCACAUUGGGACUGAGACACGGCCCAGACUCCUACGGGAGGCAGCAGUAGGGAAUUUUCGGCAAUGGGGGCAACCCUGACCGAGCAACGCCGCGUGAGUGAAGACGGCCUUCGGGUUGUAAAGCUCUGUUGUAGGGGAAGAACGGUAGAUAGAGAAUAUCUAAGUGACGGUACCUUACCAGAAAGCCACGGCUAACUACGUG